AGUAAUGCGUGACCAACCUGCCCCAUGCUCCAGAAUAGCCCUUGGAAACGGGUGGUAAUGCUGGAUGCUCCAACUUGAACGCAUGUCUUGUUGGGAAAGUGUUUAGUGGCAUGGGAUGGGGUCGCGUCCUAUCAGCUUGUAGGCGGGGUAAUGGCCCACCUAGGCUUCGACGGGUAGCCGGCCUGAGAGGGCGGACGGCCACAUUGGGACUGAGAUACGGCCCAGACUCCUACGGGAGGCAGCAGUU
rnacentral:rRNA from 1 species